rnacentral:tRNA from 1 species
UAGGGUUAAAGUUUAAUUAAACAUUUAAUUUGCAAUUAAAAAUAACAUUUUUAUGUUAACCUG